rnacentral:rRNA from 1 species
GACGAACGCUGGCGGCGUGCUUAACACAUGCAAGUCGAACGGAAAGGCCCUGCUUUUGUGGGGUGCUCGAGUGGCGAACGGGUGAGUAACACGUGAGUAACCUGCCCUUGACUUUGGGAUAACUUCAGGAAACUGGGGCUAAUACCGGAUAGGAGCUCCUGCUGCAUGGUGGGGGUUGGAAAGUUUCGGCGGUUGGGGAUGGACUCGCGGCUUAUCAGCUUGUUGGUGGGGUAGUGGCUUACCAAGGCUUUGACGGGUAGCCGGCCUGAGAGGGUGACCGGGGACAAGGGGCGUAGGAGAGGGACAAGGCGGGUAGGGGGGGCAACGGGGGGGAGUGUGGGGCAGUAGGGCGGGGGCGGUGCCAGCGGCGUCCGGUGGGGAAAGAGGUGGGGUGGGGGAAGAACAGAAUGCGGCUGUGACUCAGCGGGAGUGACGGGACUGGGUAAAGAAGCAACGGCUAACUACGUG